CCUACGGGAGGCAGCAGUGAGGAAUAUUGGUCAAUGGACGAGAGUCUGAACCAGCCAAGUAGCGUGAAGGAUGACUGCUCUAUGGGUUGUAAACUUCUUUUAUAUGGGAAUAAAAUUUUCAACGUGUGGGAUUUUGUCUGUACCAUAUGAAUAAGGAUCGGCUAACUCCGUGCCAGCAGCCGCGGUAAUACGGAGGAUCCGAGCGUUAUCCGGAUUCAUUGGGUUUAAAGGGAGCGUAGGUGGAUUUGUAAGUCAGUUGUUAAAGUUUGCGGCUGAACCGUAAAAUUGCAGUUGAAACUGGCGGUCUUGAGUACAGUAGAGGUGGGCGGAAUUCGUGGGGUAGCGGUGAAAGGCUUAGAUAUCACGAAGAACACCGAUUGCGAAGGCAGCUCACUGGCCUGCAACUGACACUGAGGCUCGAAAGUGUGGGUAUCAAACAGGAUUAGAUACCCGAGUAGUC
rnacentral:rRNA from 1 species